AUUGAACGCUGGCGGCAUGCCUUACACAUGCAAGUCGAACGGCAGCACGGGUGCUUGCACCUGGUGGCGAGUGGCGAACGGGUGAGUAAUACAUCGGAACGUACCUUAUCGUGGGGGAUAACGCAGCGAAAGCUGUGCUAAUACCGCAUACGCCCUGAGGGGGAAAGCGGGGGAUCGCAAGACCUCGCGCGAUUAGAGCGGCCGAUGUCUGAUUAGCUUGUUGGUGAGGUAAAAGCUCACCAAGGCGAUGAUCAGUAGCUGGUCUGAGAGGACGAUCAGCCACACUGGGACUGAGACACGGCCCAGACUCCUACGGGAGGCAGCAGUGGGGAAUUUUGGACAAUGGGGGCAACCCUGAUCCAGCAAUGCCGCGUGAGUGAAGAAGGCCUUCGGGUUGUAAAGCUCUUUUGUCAGGGAGGAAACAGCAGCUCUAACACAGUCUGCGAAUGACGGUACCUGAAGAAUAAGCACCGGCUAACUACGUGCCAGCCGCCGCAGUAA
rnacentral:rRNA from 1 species